rnacentral:rRNA from 1 species
GAUGAACGCUAGCGGCAGGCCUAAUACAUGCAAGUCGAGGGGCAGCACGAAUAGCAAUAUUUGGUGGCGACCGGCGCACGGGUGCGUAACACGUAUACAAUCUGCCUUUUACAGGGGAAUAGCCCGGAGAAAUUCGGAUUAAUGCCCCAUAAUAUGUUGAACGGCAUCGUUUGAUAUUGAAAGCUCCGGCGGUAGAAGAUGCGUAUGCGCAUGAUUAGCUGGUUGGUGAGGUAACGGCUCACCAAGGCGACGAUCAUUAGGGGAGCUGAGAGGACUACCCCCCCCACGGGUAAUGAGAAACGGACCAGGCUCCUACGAGAGGCAGCAGUAAGGAAUAUUGGACAAUGGAGGCAACUCUGAACCAGCCAUGCCGCGUGCAGGAUGAAGGCGCUAUGCGUCGUAAACUGCUUUUGUACAAGAGAAAACCAUAUUUUCUAGUGUGGUUGACGGUACCAGAUGAAUAAGCACCGGCUAACUCCGUGCCAGCCGCCGCCGUAACAC